UACGUAGGGUGCAAGCGUUAAUCGGAAUUACUGGGCGUAAAGCGUGCGCAGGCGGUUUUGUAAGUCUGUCGUGAAAUCCCCGGGCUUAACCUGGGAAUUGCGAUGGAGACUGCAAGGCUGGAGUCUGGCAGAGGGGGGGUAGAAUUCCACGUGUAGCAGUGAAAUGCGUAGAGAUGUGGAGGAACACCGAUGGCGAAGGCAGCCCCCUGGGUCAAGACUGACGCUCAUGCACGAAAGCGUGGGGAGCAAACAGGG
rnacentral:rRNA from 1 species